rnacentral:rRNA from 1 species
UUAAAUUGAAGAGUUUGAUCAUGGCUCAGAUUGAACGCUGGCGGCAGGCCUAACACAUGCAAGUCGAACGGUAACAGGAAGCAGCUUGCUGCUUUGCUGACGAGUGGCGGACGGGUGAGUAAUGUCUGGGAAACUGCCUGAUGGAGGGGGAUAACUACUGGAAACGGUGGCUAAUACCGCAUAACGUCGCAAGACCAAAGAGGGGGACCUUCGGGCCUCUUGCCAUCAGAUGUGCCCAGAUGGGAUUAGCUUGUUGGUGAGGUAACGGCUCACCAAGGCGACGAUCCCUAGCUGGUCUGAGAGGAUGACCAGCCACACUGGAACUGAGACACGGUCCAGACUCCUACGGGAGGCAGCAGUGGGGAAUAUUGCACAAUGGGCGCAAGCCUGAUGCAGCCAUGCCGCGUGUAUGAAGAAGGCCUUCGGGUUGUAAAGUACUUUCAGCGGGGAGGAAGGUGUUGUGGUUAAUAACCGCAGCAAUUGACGUUACCCGCAGAAGAAGCACCGGCUAACUCCGUGCCAGCAGCCGCGGUAAUACGGAGGGUGCAAGCGUUAAUCGGAAUUACUGGGCGUAAAGCGCACGCAGGCGGUCUGUCAAGUCGGAUGUGAAAUCCCCGGGCUCAACCUGGGAACUGCAUUCGAAACUGGCAGGCUUGAGUCUUGUAGAGGGGGGUAGAAUUCCAGGUGUAGCGGUGAAAUGCGUAGAGAUCUGGAGGAAUACCGGUGGCGAAGGCGGCCCCCUGGACAAAGACUGACGCUCAGGUGCGAAAGCGUGGGGAGCAAACAGGAUUAGAUACCCUGGUAGUCCACGCCGUAAACGAUGUCUACUUGGAGGUUGUGCCCUUGAGGCGUGGCUUCCGGAGCUAACGCGUUAAGUAGACCGCCUGGGGAGUACGGCCGCAAGGUUAAAACUCAAAUGAAUUGACGGGGGCCCGCACAAGCGGUGGAGCAUGUGGUUUAAUUCGAUGCAACGCGAAGAACCUUACCUGGUCUUGACAUCCACAGAAGAAUCCAGAGAUGGAUUUGUGCCUUCGGGAACUGUGAGACAGGUGCUGCAUGGCUGUCGUCAGCUCGUGUUGUGAAAUGUUGGGUUAAGUCCCGCAACGAGCGCAACCCUUAUCCUUUGUUGCCAGCGGUUAGGCCGGGAACUCAAAGGAGACUGCCAGUGAUAAACUGGAGGAAGGUGGGGAUGACGUCAAGUCAUCAUGGCCCUUACGACCAGGGCUACACACGUGCUACAAUGGCGCAUACAAAGAGAAGCGACCUCGCGAGAGCAAGCGGACCUCAUAAAGUGCGUCGUAGUCCGGAUUGGAGUCUGCAACUCGACUCCAUGAAGUCGGAAUCGCUAGUAAUCGUGGAUCAGAAUGCCACGGUGAAUACGUUCCCGGGCCUUGUACACACCGCCCGUCACACCAUGGGAGUGGGUUGCAAAAGAAGUAGGUAGCUUAACCUUCGGGAGGGCGCUUACCACUUUGUGAUUCAUGACUGGGGUGAAGUCGUAACAAGGUAACCGUAGGGGAACCUGCGGUUGGAUCACCUCCUUACCUGAAAGAAGC